rnacentral:sRNA from 1 species
GCUGGGUGUGGUGGCGCAUGCCUGUAAUCCCAGGCUUGGGAGGCUGAAACAGGACGAUUGCAAGUUCAAUGCCAGCCUCAGCAAAAGUGAGGCUCUAAGCAACUCAGUGAGACCCGGUCUCUA